GCAUCGGUGGUUCGGUGGUAGAAUGCUUCCGCUCGCCACGCGGGCGGCCCGGGUUCGAUUCCCCGGCCGAUGCA